UACAGAGGUGGCAAGCGUUGUUCGGAAUUACUGGGCGUAAAGGGCGCGUAGGCGGCCUUCUAAGUCAGACGUGAAAUCCCCAGGCUUAACUUGGGAACUGCGUCUGAUACUGGGAGGCUUGAAUGCGGGAGAGGGAUGUGGAAUUCCAGGUGUAGCGGUGAAAUGCGUAGAUAUCUGGAGGAACACCGGUGGCGAAGGCGGCAUCCUGGACCGACAUUGACGCUGAGGCGCGAAAGCUAGGGGAGCAAAC
rnacentral:rRNA from 1 species